GAGAAGUGGCAAUUCAAGAAGUCAUAGCUUGUGAAAAGUGACAACUUUUCUGCUGCAACAAACAGCAGACAUCCACAAGGAGCAGCUCUCAAAAUAACCCCCAAGGAUAACAAAUGAAUGAAGAUCUCGAUUCCAUUGAGUAUGGAGACAAGGAAGAUUUUGUGGUGAAUUUGCAGAGAAGGAGCAUUGUUGACAUUGCUGCCGAAAUCGAGUAACAGUCACUUAAAGACAGAGUGGAGGCAAAUCACUGUUUUUUUUGAGCCUCAGUUUACCCUUCCACAAAAUGAAGACCUUGGACUGCAGAUGUCUAAAUUCUCUUCCAGCCCUAGACAGUAUAAUUCACACUCUGUGGACAUUCAGAUACAUUCUAUCACCUUCCAGCCCAGCCUGAUUUUCACCAGCCCAGAUUUUCACAUCCCAUGACUGUGAGUAGAAAGAUUUUAUAGGACCAGACCUUCCCAAACUGUGGGAUCCUAAUCAUCCUCUCUUGCCUGAAGCUUGGUUGGGUUCUGGAAUGUAUGAACUUGCAUGGCGAAUUUUCUUGUUUGCUUGUUUUUUUUUUU